rnacentral:rRNA from 1 species
CUACGGGCGGCUGCAGUGAGGAAUAUUGCACAAUGGGGGGAACCCUGAUGCAGCAACGCCGCGUGGAGGAUGACGCAUUUCGGUGUGUAAACUCCUUUUAUAUGUCAAGAAAAUGACGGUAGCAUAUGAAUAAGCACCUGCUAACUCCGUGCCAGCAGCCGCGGUAAUACGGAGGGUGCAAGCGUUACUCGGAAUAACUGGGCGUAAAGGACGCGUAGGCGGGUUGGAAAGUCAGGUGUGAAAUCCUACAGCUUAACUGUAGAACUGCACUUGAAACUUCUAAUCUAGAGUAUGGGAGGGGGAGAUGGAAUUAGUGGUGUAGGGGUAAAAUCCGUAGAUAUCACUAGGAAUACCUAAAGCGAAGGCGAUCUCCUGGAACAUUAUUGACGCUAAGGCGUGAAAGCGUGGGGAGCAAACAGGAUUAGAUACCCCCGUAGUC